rnacentral:rRNA from 1 species
GAGGGAUGACGGCUUCGGGUGUAAACCUCUUUUAGCAGGGAAGAAGCGAAAGUGACGGUACCUGCAGAAAAAGCACCGGCUAACUACGUGCCAGCAGCCGCGGUAAUACGUAGGGUGCAAGCGUUAUCCGGAAUUAUUGGGCGUAAAGAGCUCGUAGGCGGUUUGUCGCGUCUGCUGUGAAAUCUGGGGGCUCAACCCCCAGCCUGCAGUGGGUACGGGCAGACUAGAGUGCGGUAGGGGAGAUUGGAAUUCCUGGUGUAGCGGUGGAAUGCGCAGAUAUCAGGAGGAACACCGAUGGCGAAGGCAGAUCUCUGGGCCGUAACUGACGCUGAGGAGCGAAAGGGUGGGGAGCAAACAGGCUUAGAUACCCUGGUAGUCCACCCCGUAAACGUUGGGAACUAGUUGUGGGGUCCAUUCCACGGAUUCCGUGACGCAGCUAACGCAUUAAGUUCCCCGCCUGGGGAGUACGGCCGCAAGGCUAAAACUCAAAGGAAUUGACGGGGACCCGCACAAGCGGCGGAGCAUGCGGAUUAAUUCGAUGCAACGCGAAGAACCUUACCAAGGCUUGACAUAUACGAGAACGGGCCAGAAAUGGUCAACUCUUUGGACACUCGUAAACAGGUGGUGCAUGGUUGUCGUCAGCUCGUGUCGUGAGAUGUUGGGUUAAGUCCCGCAACGAGCGCAACCCUCGUUCUAUGUUGCCAGCACGUAAUGGUGGGAACUCAUGGGAUACUGCCGGGGUCAACUCGGAGGAAGGUGGGGAUGACGUCAAAUCAUCAUGCCCCUUAUGUCUUGGGCUUCACGCAUGCUACAAUGGCCGGUACAAAGGGCUGCAAUACCGUGAGGUGGAGCGAAUCCCAAAAAGCCGGUCCCAGUUCGGAUUGAGGUCUGCAACUCGACCUCAUGAAGUCGGAGUCGCUAGUAAUCGCAGAUCAGCAACGCUGCGGUGAAUACGUUCCCGGGUCUUGUACACACCGCCCGUCAAGUCAUGAAAGUCGGUAACACCUGAAGCCGGUGGCCUAACCCUUGGGAGGGAGCC